rnacentral:rRNA from 1 species
AGUGAGCGCUGGCGGUAGGCCUAACACAUGCAAGUCGAACGGCAGCACAGGAGAGCUUGCUCUCUGGGUGGCGAGUGGCGGACGGGUGAGGAAUACAUCGGAAUCUGCCCAGUCGUGGGGGAUAACGUAGGGAAACUUACGCUAAUACCGCAUACGACCUUCGGGUGAAAGAGGGGGAUCGCAAGACCUCUCGCGAUUGGAUGAGCCGAUGUCGGAUUAGCUAGUUGGCGGGGUAAUGGCCCACCAAGGCGACGAUCCGUAGCUGGUCUGAGAGGAUGAUCAGCCACACUGGAACUGGGACACGGUCCAGACUCCUACGGGAGGCAGCAGUGGGGAAUAUUGGACAAUGGGCGCAAGCCUGAUCCAGCCAUACCGCGUGGGUGAAGAAGGCCUUCGGGUUGUAAAGCCCUUUUGUUGGGAAAGAAAUCUUUCAGGCUAAUACCCUGGGAGGAUGACGGUACCCAAAGAAUAAGCACCGGCUAACUUCGUG